UACGAAGGGGGCUAGCGUUACUCGGAUUGACUGGGCGUAAAGGGCGCGUAGGCGGCUUGUACAGUCAGACGUGAAAUUCCUGGGCUCAACCUGGGGGCUGCGUUUGAUACGUGCGGGCUUGAGUUCGGAAGAGGGUCGUGGAAUUCCCAGUGUAGAGGUGAAAUUCGUAGAUAUUGGGAAGAACACCGGUGGCGAAGGCGGCGACCUGGUCCGAUACUGACGCUGAGGUGCGAAAGCGUGGGGAGCAAACAGG
rnacentral:rRNA from 1 species